rnacentral:rRNA from 1 species
UCCUACGGGAGGCAGCAGUAGGGAAUCUUCCGCAAUGGACGAAAGUCUGACGGAGCAACGCCGCGUGAGUGAUGAAGGUUUUCGGAUCGCAAAACUCUGUUGUUAGGGAAGAACAAGUUGGGUAGUAACUGACCCAACCUUGACGGUACCUAACCAGAAACCCCGGCUAACUCCGUGCCAGCAGCCGCGGUAAUACGGAGGGGGUUAGCGUUGUUCGGAAUUACUGGGCGUAAAGCGCACGUAGGCGGACUGGAAAGUUGGGGGUGAAAUCCCGGGGCUCAACCCCGGAACUGCCUCCAAAACUAUCAGUCUAGAGUUCGAGAGAGGUGAGUGGAAUUCCGAGUGUAGAGGUGAAAUUCGUAGAUAUUCGGAGGAACACCAGUGGCGAAGGCGGCUCACUGGCUCGAUACUGACGCUGAGGUGCGAAAGUGUGGGGAGCAAACAGGAUUAGAUACCCUGGUAGUCCACACCGUAAACGAUGAAUGCCAGUCGUCGGGUAGCAUGCUAUUCGGUGACACACCUAACGGAUUAAGCAUUCCGCCUGGGGAGUACGGUCGCAAGAUUAAAACUCAAAUGAAUUGACGGA